ACUCGAGUGGCGAACGGGUGAGUAACACGUGGGUGAUCUGCCCUUCACUUCGGGAUAAGCCUGGGAAACUGGGUCUAAUACUGGAUAGGACCAUCGUUUAGUGUCGGUGGUGGAAAGUUUUUUCGGUGCAAGAUGAGCUCGCGGCCUAUCAGCUUGUUGGUGGGGUAAUGGCCUACCAAGGCGUCGACGGGUAGCCGGCCUGAGAGGGUGUACGGCCACAUUGGGACUGAGAUACGGCCCAG
rnacentral:rRNA from 1 species